GGAAGAUUAGCGUAUCUGGUGAUCGCCACUGACUUCAAAUCAGAUGAAAGGGUAGCUGGCUAUUCUUUGGGGAGUUCGAUUCUCUCAUCUUCUCGCCA
rnacentral:tRNA from 1 species